AUUGAACGCUGGCGGCAGGCCUAACACAUGCAAGUCGAGCGGAGCGGCGGACGGGUGAGUAAUGCCUAGGAAUCUGCCUGGUAGUGGGGGAUAACGUCCGGAAACGGGCGCUAAUACCGCAUACUAUCAGAUGAGCCUAGGUCGGAUUAGCUAGUUGGUGGGGUAAAGGCCUACCAAGGCGACGAUCCGUAACUGGUCUGAGAGGAUGAUCAGUCACACUGGAACUGAGACACGGUCCAGACUCCUACGGGAGGCAGCAGUGGGGAAUAUUGGACAAUGGGCGAAAGCCUGAUCCAGCCAUGCCGCGUGUAUGAAGAAGGCCUUCGGGUUGUAAAGUACUUUCAGCGGGGAGGCGUUACCCGCAGAAGAAGCACCGGCUAACUCCGUGCCAGCAGCCGCGGUAAUAC
rnacentral:rRNA from 1 species